AUUGAACGCUGGCGGCAUGCCUUACACAUGCAAGUCGAGCGGAGAUGAGGUGCUUGCACCUUAUCUUAGCGGCGGACGGGUGAGUAAUGCUUAGGAAUCUGCCUAUUAGUGGGGGACAACAUUCCGAAAGGAAUGCUAAUACCGCAUACGCCCUACGGGGGAAAGCAGGGGAUCUUCGGACCUUGCGCUAAUAGAUGAGCCUAAGUCGGAUUAGCUAGUUGGUGGGGUAAAGGCCUACCAAGGCGACGAUCUGUAGCGGGUCUGAGAGGAUGAUCCGCCACACUGGGACUGAGACACGGCCCAGACUCCUACGGGAGGCAGCAGUGGGGAAUAUUGGACAAUGGGCGGAAGCCUGAUCCAGCCAUGCCGCGUGUGUGAAGAAGGCCUUUUGGUUGUAAAGCACUUUAAGCGAGGAGGAGGCUACCUGGAUUAAUACUCUAGGAUAGUGGACGUUACUCGCAGAAUAAGCACCGGCUAACUCUGUGCCAGCAGCCGCAGUAAUAC
rnacentral:rRNA from 1 species